rnacentral:lncRNA from 10 species
CAAACCUGCAUCUGAAUCUUGGUUCUAUCACUUCCUGACUGCAUAAUUUUGUGCCAGCUCUCCCAGGAUGAGUUCUGCUGCACAAGAAGACCAAAGCUUCGUACUUGUGCCUAUUUGAAUUCUACCAUUUGGGGAUAUGCUUUGCUCUUUUGCUGAAACCAGGAGAAACUGAAUGAACACUGCAGCAAAAAAGAGGGUCCGUUUGAAGGGUACAGAGACCUGAUAAAGGAAGACCUGACCUUUUACAAGGGCAGCUCCAGGGAUCUAAGCAGCAGAAGGGCUAAGAUGCUACCAUUCAAGCACUGAAGACCAGCUGACUUCUGCUGCUGGAUUUUUUUCUACUCCAGAUUUAAGUUAUCAGACAAGAGGGAUACCAAUUGACCUGCCUUGGGUCAAGUGCCUAUCCUUUGGUAGGGUUAGAGAAUUCGGCAUCCCUAUCAGAACCACAUGGAAGUGAGGGUGGUAGAGAUAGACAGAAAAAAGAUAGAAGAUAGAAGAGAAAAACACUUCUGUCAACUCCUAAAAUUAACUGCUCUGUUCUGGAAUUUUGCAUGUGUGUCACGAAGGCUUAUUUUUGGACCUUCUUUCUGUCUUGGGACCCAGUUUUUAGAUUCAACAAUCUUGUGUGAUUGGUCUUGAUUUUGGUUCUGGACUAUGCUUUGCAACCCUGCUUAUCCCACAGUUUUAGGAAGAGCAAAUAUACUGCUACUCUGUUCGCACUGUUGUGGGUUACUCUUCAGCAAAGGCAGUCAAAGCACUCCCAUCUCUUAGCUCCAUAAUGGACAAGCUGAGCAGAAACAGACUCAGCAGAGAUAGGGGAAACUUUGCCUAAGAUGCUACAGAUGGUUAGAGGCAGGUUCAGGACUAGAACUCAGGUAUACUGAUUUCCCAUCCAGUGCUCUUUCCUUCUGUAGUAAUUAUUUCCAGUCCAACAUUUGAGAGCUAACCAGAAAAGGAGAAUAGAGUUAUUGCCAGAACAUCAGCACAUUCAGAAGAGUUUGAAAGCAUGUGUCUUUUUGUGUGCAGGGAUUGUGAUUUGAACACAUUAAAAAUUAGAAAUAGAAUGUCAGCAGUUGUGUCCUGCUGGUAUUGUAAAAAAUCUUAAGAAGACAGAUGGUAGUUUUGAAAUAGAAGAUUUAAAGAACUUUGUACUUUGCACUUUUCCACACAUGUGACAGGUGGGAAAGGAAAAAUGGCAGGAGGAAGACUGUCAUGCAUUCAGAGACAAGGUUCACACAGCCAGUUUUGGAGGUGAGCCAGAUUACUGGACUGCAGCUCUAUUAUGAGGUGUUGCUUUCUCUAUCACUUUGGGAGUGGGCGCUGUAGCUGCCGCCCACAUUUACCAUUGACUGCUCCACUACCUGCAACACACCCUAUUUUGGAAUCUCCUUCAUUUGGGAACAGGGAGUGGCACAGGGAGGUCCCACAUAUGACCUCCCUGUUUUUAAUAACCCCAUCCCCAGGGAAAAAGAACAAGAAAGAUUCCAACAGAAGAUAAAGCAAAAAAAAAAAAUUAGACAAAAUUUACCUGUCUCUGUGGCUAUGUCAGAGAGGACACACAAAGGGGAAGAUCCAAGGAUGUGUUUAUAUGAUGGAGGAAAGAAGGGCUUGCUCCCUUGUUCAUGAGAGAAAAUAGUAUCUGCAGCAUUGUGUAUGAGCACUCUAAUUUGUGUUUAUUAUUUUUACAUUUUCAGUCUUCCCAACUAUAUGUGGAGCAGUAUCAUUAUCACUUGCCUCCACAUAUCUACAGCACUUCAUAUGGUGAUUUGCAAACUGUAUAUGUUUAAUUGUACUUAAUUUGCAAACUGUAAAUGCUUGUUUCUGAGAAUAAAAUACAAGUUUAAAAUUUUUGUUGAUUUUUAAAAUCAAUUGUAUCUUAAUGGAAGUUACUGAGUUACUCCUCAAUUUCUGUUGCAUUUCCACACAUAAUCCCUUAAGCCUUUUAGGUAAAUCCUCAGUAUUAAUAAGAAUA